CCUUUCCUUUCACUCCGUGCUCAAACUUUCCAAACUCUUUUUCCCUUGAAUCGGCGGUAUGCAUAGUGUUGAGAGUGGAAACGCUGUUGAUGUGGGUAACCGCGGUUGAGGAAGAUGUUGUUCGGUUUAGCAAACGGUUUGUUUAUGUGCUUUGAAGGGUUAUUUGGGAUGCAGUGUUUGGACUUGAAAGGGUGGUCGAGGUCGAUGCAUAGUCAUAAGGUUUUGAUGGAAAGAGCGAGGACAACAUUCGUUGUUGUUGUGUGUUUCGGUGGUGAGCUUACUGUUAGUGGCUGUUAAUGUGUGUAUGGCUAUGUAGUAAUGUUUAAGGGUGAAGUCUUGUUAUGAAUGGUUGAUAUGGUGAUUUAGUUUGCAUUACAGCGACAAUCAGAGUUUAUGGUGGAAGAGGGGGGUUUGGCAGAGCGGCGCGUGUGGCUGGUGUGUGCAGUCGGAAGUGGAGGGAUGUGUAGGUGUGAUUCAAAGUUUGUUGAAGGAGAGAGUACAAUUUUGAGAUUUGUGGUGAUGAAAUGAAGGAAGUUGAUGUUGUAUUGGUAAGAGAUGACCAGCGUAACUGAAGAUGAGAAGUAGGUGGUGGCACGAAGUGAGUAGGAAGAUGAGUAAGGUUUUGCGCAUGAAAUAUGUGGGUGGAGGGAUAUGAAGUUAGGGUGUUUGUUUUAUGGUAGUAGGAAGAGGAAGAUAAUGGAGUUAUACAUUGGAU
rnacentral:lncRNA from 1 species